rnacentral:tRNA from 1 species
UCCGCGGACGGCCGGUCCGGGACCACGAUCACGCCUGUCCGGCGAGACCUUAGCAGUUGGUUCAGACCAAUCCGCGGAUC